rnacentral:rRNA from 1 species
AAGCGGAGGAAAAGAAACCAACAGGGAUUGCCCUAGUAACGGCGAGUGAAGCGGCAACAGCUCAAAUUUGAAAUCUGGCCUUCGGGUCCGAGUUGUAAUUUGUAGAGGAUGCUUUUGGCGCGGUGCCUUCCGAGUUCCCUGGAACGGGACGCCUUAGAGGGUGAGAGCCCCGUACGGUUGGACACCAAGCCUCUGUAAAGCUCCUUCGACGAGUCGAGUAGUUUGGGAAUGCUGCUCUAAAUGGGAGGUAAAUUUCUUCUAAAGCUAAAUAUUGGCCAGAGACCGAUAGCGCACAAGUAGAGUGAUCGAAAGAUGAAAAGCACUUUGAAAAGAGGGUUAAAUAGCACGUGAAAUUGUUGAAAGGGAAGCGUUUGCGACCAGACCUUUUCCUAGCGGAUCAUCCGGUGUUCUUCACCGGUGCACUUUGCUAGGUCGAGGCCAGCAUCGGUUUCUGUAGGGGGAUAAAAGCCUAGGGAACGUAGCUCUUUCGAGAGUGUUAUAGCCCUUGGCAUAAUACCCUUGCGGGGACCGAGGACCGCGCUUCGGCAAGGAUGCUGGCAUAAUGGUCGUCAACGACCCGUCUUGAA